rfam:Alicyclobacillus acidoterrestris ATCC 49025 contig_49, whole genome shotgun sequence.
UCCGCCGCGAGGCGGAAUCUGAAGGAAGGCGGCGGCAAAUCUCCGGCCCGAGGAACACGAACCUCAAGUGAGGCUAACGACAGUUGGAUGAGUUUGCACAACAAAACAAAAUCCAUGCUACCGAAGGCUGUC